ACGUAGGGGGCGAGCGUUAUCCGGAUUCAUUGGGCGUAAAGCGCGCGUAGGCGGCCGGGCAGGCCUGGGGUCAAAUGCGGGGGCUCAACCCCCGCCCGCCCCGGGAACCUCCCGGCUCGGGUCCGGUAGGGGAGGGUGGAACGCCCGGUGUAGCGGUGGAAUGCGCAGAUAUCGGGCGGAACACCGGUGGCGAAGGCGGCCCUCUGGGCCGAGACCGACGCUGAGGCGCGAAAGCCGGGGGAGCGAACAG
rnacentral:rRNA from 1 species